rnacentral:antisense_RNA from 1 species
AUUGUCAUUAUUUUGUUCUUUAAUGAAAUUGUGUAAAGCUUCAAAUAAUUUUAGUCGUU